UGUCACAUCAUCUCACACAAUGAAUAUGGUAAGAACCAAUAAUCUUACCCGAUAAGAACGAGACAAGAACCAAGAGCCUUACCCCGGUAAGUAAAGGCGAUGACUCUUACCACGGUAAGUGCUUACCGGGUAAAUUGUUACAUGUGAUGUCGUUUUGGUGGAUUAAAAUAUUACCGGGUAGGUAAAUUGUAGUGUUAAAUCUCACCAGUAAACACUUACGGGUAACUAUUUAGUAAACGGCCUCUUAAUCUGUUUGAAUCAAAGUUUUAGUAGGAUUAUGCCUGUUGUAGUAUAUGUAUACGUUCCACAUAAAUCUUUGUGUUCUCUCUUAAUUGCAACUAUAGAGAAACUUCAUUUAAUGGUUGUUUUUCUUGACUUUCAUUUAAUUUUGUAGCGGCUUCAUUGGAGACGUGCGUCAAGAACGAACGAUGGAUUGAUGUUAACUUCUCCGCUCACGCCCAUUCACAAUGAUAAUGAGAAAUGGAGCAAAACAGAUGGUUCAAGCAUGCCACUGUUCCGCCCUCAAUAUCUUAGGUAAAACAUACCUCGCUUUUCAUUUUAGCUGAAAUGACGAUAACCCGAAAAACUUGUGGUCUAAACGAUUUAAUUCCGUGUUCAGUUUUUGUAUGGUAGGCUAUCUAUCACGGCAUGGGAGAAACUGUUGAUACUGCAGCCACAUAACUGGGCUUUGAGGAGAGAUCAUGGCAUGAUGUUGUCCUAUAGUAGGGAUUAUGUGAAGGCUGUUCAAGAGCUAAGCAUUUGCAUGGCGUUUGUACCCAAAGAAGAGGCCGAAGUUCUGGAACCGUUUGUCGAAAAGUUGCAUUUGUUGCAACUUGAGUCCUCGUGGACGUCUCAAGGACAUAAAGGACGCUUGAUGGUUUUGUAAAGACGUGCUUAUUUGUUUGAACAAAAUCCCUCUGUUCUGUUCGACCUGUUUGACUCGUAACUUACAAAAUAACACUUCAUUUCAACCUGUUUGACCUGUAAAUUACAAAACGAUAUAUUAUUUUUAAUAUCUCAGUUUUUUUAAAA